AGAGUUUGAUCCUGGCUCAGGAUGACCGCUAGCGGCAGGCUUAACACAUGCAAGUCGAGGGGCAGCGGGGAGGAAGCUUGCUUUCUCCGCCGGCGACCGGCGCACGGGUGAGUAACACGUAUGCAACCUGCCCCUGUCAGGGGGACAACCCGCCGAAAGGCGGGCUAAACCCGCGUACAUGCCACCGGGGCAUCCCGGAGGCAGGAAAGGCUUCGGCCGGACAGGGAUGGGCAUGCGGCGCAUUAGGCAGUAGGCGGGGUAACGGCCCACCUAACCGACGAUGCGUAGGGGUUCUGAGAGGAAGGUCCCCCACACUGGUACUGAGACACGGACCAGACUCCUACGGGAGGCAGCAGUGAGGAAUAUUGGUCAAUGGUCGGGAGACUGAACCAGCCAAGCCGCGUGAGGGAGGAAGGUACAGAGUAUCGUAAACCUCUUUUGUCAGGGAACAAAGGCGGGGACGUGUCCCCGGAUGAGUGUACCUGAAGAAAAAGCAUCGGCUAACUCCGUGCCAGCAGCCGCGGUAAUACGGAGGAUGCGAGCGUUAUCCGGAUUUAUUGGGUUUAAAGGGUGCGCAGGCGGUCUGUUAAGUCAGCGGUCAAAGCCCCGGGGCUCAACCCCGGCCCGCCGUUGAAACUGGCAGUCUCCAGUUGGAGAGAAGUAUGCGGGAAUGCGGGGUGUAGCGGUGAAAUGCAUAGAUAUCGCGCAGAACUCCGAUUGCGAAGGCAGCAUGCCGGCUCCACACUGACGCUGAGGCACGAAAGCGUGGGUAUCGAACAGGAUUAGAUACCCUGGUAGUCCACGCAGUAAACGAUGAAUGCUGGCUGUCCGGGGGGAUUGACCCCUGGGUGGCGAAGCGAAAGCGAUAAGCAUUCCACCUGGGGAGUACGCCGGCAACGGUGAAACUCAAAGGAAUUGACGGGGGCCCGCACAAGCGGAGGAACAUGUGGUUUAAUUCGAUGAUACGCGAGGAACCUUACCCGGGCUCAAACGGGGAGUGACUCAGGCAGAGACGCCUGUUUCCCACGGGACACUCCCCGAGGUGCUGCAUGGUUGUCGUCAGCUCGUGCCGUGAGGUGUCGGCUUAAGUGCCAUAACGAGCGCAACCCCCGCGUGCAGUUGCUAACAGAUAACACUGAGGACUCUGCACGGACUGCCGGCGCAAGCCGCGAGGAAGGCGGGGAUGACGUCAAAUCAGCACGGCCCUUACGUCCGGGGCGACACACGUGUUACAAUGGGUGGUACAGCGGGAAGCCAGGCGGCGACGCCGAGCGGAACCCGAAAUCCACUCUCAGUUCGGAUCGGAGUCUGCAACCCGACUCUGUGAAGCUGGAUUCGCUAGUAAUCGCGCAUCAGCCAUGGCGCGGUGAAUACGUUCCCGGGCCUUGCACACACCGCCCGUCA
rnacentral:rRNA from 1 species